UCUAAGUCGGAUAAUCACUUGUAUUACAAGAGAUUAUAGUCUAGCAAGAUGUCACGAGUUGUGAUCUUCCUCUGCGUCCUGGUACUGGUAGCGGCAGUGUCAUCUGAGGACCCGAAGCCUCCUCAGGCCCUCGGUGACCACCCCAACCAUCCGAACCACCCGGAGCACCCUAAGUUCCCCAACCACGACAUCAACUCCACCCAUAUGCCUGACAUGCCGAAAGACAAACCUAACAACGACAAUUAAAACGGGUUUCGGGCGUUUUUAGAGUCAUGGAAUCAUGAGAAGUUACAUUAUUUGCUAUGUAAAUAAUGCCAAUACAAUGUAAGAAAAUAUAUUAAUGGAAACCACAUAAGAGACCUGUAAAGAGCAGUUACGCGGUCAAUCGUUCAAGCGGUCAGUUUUGCGUUCUUUGUGUUGUAUUACGUUACAUAGAUAUACUCACACAGGGGGCGUUCUGACUGCGUCAGAAUUGCUCCUGUGUGACUGACCACUCGAACGCAAAACGUUUAAACGUGUGACCGCUCUCUGUCUGAUAGGUUCCUAAUGGUUUUAGAUAUUACUGAGAGUGCUAUUAAGGUAUAGGGAGUCUGAAUAAGGCCUAUUAAGCGUUUAUAAAGGUGAAAAAACCUGCGUGUUUGAUCUCUACUUACUCUCUUGGGUUACAUGACUCUAAAAAUGUUAUUAUUUUGUGUUUGACCCCAGAUUUUCUAUCUUCGAUCAAUGUAUGUUUGAAGCAAUGGCGGAUUAACCCUUAAUCAAAUUAAACACUUGCCUAGGGCAUCACGUCUGAGGGGGCACCAGAAGAAGCACAAAAAAAUCCGUCCUUUGGGCGCGUUCACAUCUCACUCUCACGUCACCAAAAACCACACCAAAAAAAGUUUCUAGGAAAAAACUAACGUUUUUGGGCGGUAAAGGUUUAAAGACCGAUUCUAGUUGACGUACAGAUAGGGGGACCCACAGGCAUGGAUUGGUUAGGGCAUCAAGUAAUCUUAAUCCGUCACUGGUUUGAAGGUAGAAUCGAGGGGUCGAAUAGAGCAUAAAAGCGCCUAGAUCUUUUUUAAUACGACAGCUGCUAAGAAACGAUUUUAAUUUUUGCGGCGUAAUGAAGUAAACCUUGAUGUGAUGUUUAAAGUCAAUUUAGGCUGUGAAUAACGGAAAUUAUGAAGAAGCUCCAUAGACAGUGAUAUCUAGAUGGUCUUGGCCUGUCAUAACCAUCUAGAUAUAACUGUCGCGAGUCACGACUGAGACAUAAACGAAACUGUUAGAGGCAGUACACCUUUAUUGGCGCAGUCGGAAAAAUAAAUAAGAACGAGAUUGGUUACUUCUUAUUGUAAUGUUAAAUAUUGUAAAUCACUGUAUUAAUUAUAAUUUAUCUUAUUCAGAGUAUUAAUAUUAUAUUGAGUGUUAAAUACAGAAUACGACAGUUAUUAAAUCGAGUGAUAAAUAAGAAAGAAAGAAAAAAAUAUUUUUAGUACACACGAGACACAAUUACAACUGAUUACUGGUUAUUAUUCAUAGAAGAAAUAUAUAAAAGCAAUCUACGCUUAAGUAUAAAUGAAGUUCUAGGCCUAGAAACUCGGCGUUAUCAAUGGAAAUCGAUCUUUGUAAUUAAUUUAAGUCAAGCAAUUAAAGUGGCUGCAGCAUU